ensembl:lncRNA DNAH10OS dynein axonemal heavy chain 10 opposite strand
CACCUCUGGAAGGACCGGCAUCCACACACACAUACAGCCGCGCCUUUUCCAGGAAGCAGCUAUCCGUAGCUUUUAUCACGGCUCCAAGACUCUCCCCAGCCCAUAAAGCUUAGGCACCCCUGUUUUAAAAAGUAGGACUGUUGGAAACCACCUCAGCCAUAACUACAGUCAGAAGAGGAAGGGCCCUGGUGUCAGAGAGGAGGGGCUGGGACCUUCACCUGCAGCUUGAGGCGAUGGGCUUCAAUGGGGAUGAUCUUCAGGAUCGGCAGGUCCACAACCAGCACCUUGGGUUUGCUCUUGAUAAGACAUCCUUUUUCUAUAUCCCAGUCAGCACCUUCCAGGUACAGUCCUGAGACAAAGCAUCCUAGGGACACAAGGCAGAGACUGGAUACAACUGGAGCAUGCACAGCCUGCCACGGAGUGGCUCUAUCAGGCGCACACACAGCGACACACAGGCCACUGGCUGGCCUCCUCCCCAGCGCAUUGGGGACAGCCCAGGCCCUUCUCCAGCAUUUCUGUCCUGCCCACCUUCCCUCUGUGGAGGAGCAGCCCAGACAGGAGACCCUGUGGCCCUGCCCCAUGGCCCAGAGAAAUGGGUGUGGGGCGGUGGCCUCUCCCCCAGGAAUCCUCAUUCCUGGGGCAUCAAGGCCCACGGACUUAGACCACCCUGGGCCCCCAGGCUAGAAAGAUGCAUGGUCCCAGAGUCAGAAUGGGCACCAUGGCAACCCCAGCUACCCUGUGAGCCGAAGUGGCUGGGGAGCAGGAAGUCGAAGCCUCACAGAGAAAGUGGUCUCCGGGGAGGAGGACCCAGCAGAUGUGCAAAGAGAGGAACACACUCCUGUGGCCCCAGAGAGAGUGGUGGCCCGGACACCUGCCACCUCCCCUGCCACUGAGACCUGGAGAGUCCCUGCAUCUUUACCGGAUUUUGUAGUCCACUUCCUUGUUCCGGAAGAAGUGGAAUGGCUGGAAAGUAUCAAAAAUGAAGUCCCCCAGGUACUCAUCCAUGUAGAUGGUCAGGAUGCGGCGAUCAAAGCUGUCGAUGGCCCGUCCUCCAUACAUGACCUGAAAUUAGAGGGCCUGAGAGCCAGCCAGGAGCUCAGAACCUACUGUGUGCACCCUGGGGGCCCGGGGCCAGAGGCUCACCCAGGGUCAAGAGACUCCAGCAGCCUGGCUGCUGCAAGGCUUGAACCUGUUGACUUGCAUAACCUUUCGGGCCACUGUUCACACAAUUGAUCUGUGGCUUUGCUGGCUUCCCAAGGGAUAGGGCCCAAAGCAGUAAGAAGCCCUCAGGAAGUGUUGGGAGCUCCUGUGCAGCAGGCAAAGUCCCCCAAACACAUCAAACAAACAGCUGAAGAAGCCAGCAGCUGCUUCUGUCUUUGGAAUUGAUGUCACUGCCUGAGCCGUGUGCAGACCACCGGGGAUGCUUCCUGUGAGCUCUGUAUACAGCAACAGCUGAGGCAAGGGGCUAGAGGAUGCCUUGCCUGGAUCCCCAGCCAUGGAUCCAGCUCAGGGAACCUCCAUGUGAACAGAGCUCACUUAGGACAAAGAACAACCAGGUGAGAGCAGAGAGAAUUGUCACAGAAACCCAAGGGGAACACAGGGGCAGAAGAGGCUGGUUCUGAGGGCUCAGAGGAAAAUAGGGGCACGAGGCCACAGCUCUGUAGCCCCAGAGGCACCUGCGGAAGGAUCCCCGGUCACCCCUACCUCUCCAAUUAGGUACUUGAGGCUGCCCCACGGGAUCCUUGGGUCCCGUUGCUGGAAGGCUUUCGUUAAGUACGUGUUCAGAAUUUCCAUGCAGACCUUGAAAGAAGAGAACACGCUCAGUUAUACUGAAACCCACCAAGCUGUUCACAUUCUGAUACUUUUCUGAAAAGGCUGCUGGGAACGGUGCAACCCUGCUGUGGUUGAACCCGGAGGAAAGUCGGGAGGAAGUGGGCCGCCUAAGGAAGCCAUUUCCAAGGAGAAGCAGCCACUGUCACCUGGAAGUCAGACUCAUUGAAGUCAUAGUACACGUUCCAGCCAAUCUUCCCAAACUUCCUUCUCUCCUGCACCACAGCAUGAAAGAACGCCAGCACGUAGACCAGCGGCUUGAAGGCAGGGUGCGGGCACUGGUCCAGCAUUUCGUGAGAGAUCUUGAAGUAAGUUGCCCUCAUGUUGAGUUUCAGCCCAUUGGGUGGCUCGGUGACAACCUUCAGAAGAGAAGAAAACACACAGUGAUGGAGACCGCAGGCCCACAAGCUUGGAAGAGUGUGCACAAUGCAGGCACUGCGCUUUCCUUCCUCUCUACGGAGCCAUCUGUCUGAGACCUCCAAUAGCUAAAGUCUCUUGUCCAGGGCCCAGGCUGAGAAGUUAAAGGACUAGAUGUUCUGGCUCUCAGGGUCAAGGGUCAAGAGUCUUUGACCUUCCUCUGAACCAUGAGAUCCUUUACUAUAUAUAAAAUGAAAGUAAAGUCUUCCCUCCACCUCCCCAGAGAGAGAGAGAGAGACAGAGAAUGACAAAACCUUUCCAAAAGAAUUUCCCGGAGAAUAAAUUAAAUGGGGCAUGUAAACCACGCGAAACUCCUGCAGUCAGCACUAGCGAACUGCAGGCUGUGUGUGGGGGGGGGGGCCGUGAAGUUUAUGAAAAGUAGCGUAGAUAUUGUUAGGGACACAUGCAGAAUUGGUAGAGAUAGGCCUGGGAGUCACAAACACCCAACCCAGGACAGCGGCUCCCUCUAAAGAGAGAGGUGGGAUUGAGAAGGGUUUCAACCGCAAGGUUUCACCUGCAGCCUAAGGUUUAUUUCUACACAGACAAAGGCACACCCCGGCCCCAGAGCAGCAUGCAGGUGUUCUGAGAAGCUGCGUGCUGGCAUGUUGAUGUCCAUCCUGAAGCCAGACCUUUAGGGACUUCUGCAGAAUCCCAAUGGGGAAGCCCUUGGUGGGGUCCGUGGUGAGCCACAGGCGGAAGUCUGGGUGGGGCUUGGUGAUCCUCUCCAGGGACUUCUCCAGAUCUUUCAGCCACUUGACCAGGAGGUGGCAGUUCUGCAGCAUCAGCCACUGCCCCCGAGCCACCGCCGUCUCCAGCAGCUGCAGGGCCACCUGCGCCGGGGGAGAGGGAAGAGGAGAGGGGUUGGCAUCCAAACCCAACCCCGUGCUCUCCAGAGACCCACUCCACACCCACAGAAGGGCGAUGGCAGCUCCAGCAGAAGCCAAAAGCAAGCCGAGGAUCCAGGAGCUACAGGUGGAGCCUUCAAAUAAACCAUCUUUGAGAAACCCCAUGGGCCCCGUGGGUGCACUGAGCUGGUCACACCCAGCCUGGAAGAUGGGUGAGCAUUUUGCACUCAUCUGCCUCCCUGGCCCUGGAAGUCCCAGCUCCUCCCACACAGUCGCUCCUGUCCCCUGAGGACUCCUGAGCAGGGCUGCAAGAGACCAGCUAAAGCCCACCAGGAAGUCGGGACUGUCCUGGCCACUGUAAGAUCUUCAGGGCCCUAGGCCUGGAAAACAAUCACCAUGUCCCCUCCCAAAUGUAAUUCAAAGCACAAACAAGCUAAACACCCAAAUCAAGCCUUGCUUUCUGAAAUGGCUUAAAACACAUGAGUGCUGGCGUUACAAUAGCUUAUUUCAGUGUUGUGGUUGAGAGAGCUGGCCCGCCUUGCUGGUGCCCAGGGCUUGCCUCCUGGGCCAUCCAGCAUGGGUAUUGCCAUCCUCAUCUCACCCAGGGGCUUUCAGCAGUAGAGGGGCUUACCCAAAGCCUCACAGUUCAUAGCAAAGCCAGGACUGGCAGUCAGCUCCCUCUGACCCCAACACGCAUGCCUGCAACCAUCACACUUACUGACGCACAGACUUUUCCUGCAAGCUUUGUCCCACAUUGUACUGAACUUGUGUAGCAAGUUCUAGCAGGGAGCACUGUGAUGCAGAGAGGCAAGACCUCAGCAAAGAAAGCUCACUGGCUCAGAAAGGUAGGAGGAUUUGCACCACAGUUCUGUCCUGAAUGGUCCUGGGCUCAGCCUCUCUCCACCCACUCCCUUGGCCAUGCAAUUGGGGCCAUAAUAAUCCUGAUCCACAAUGAGGCUGUUCAGGGACUAAGGAAGGUAAGGACUGUGUGUGAAAGGGCUUUGAAAACAGCACAGCCUGAGCAUCGUGUCUCAUGCCUGUGAUCCCAACACUUUGGGAGGCCGAAGUGGAAGGAUCGCUUGAGCCCAGGAGUUCAAGACCAGCCAGGGCAACAUGGUGACGUGUUUGUAUUUUUCUCUACAGAAAAUACCAAAAAAAUUAGCCAGGCAUGGUGACGCAUGCCUGUAGUCUCAGCUGCUACUGGGGAGGCUGAGGCAGGACGAUCACUUCACAAUCAGGAGGUCGAGGCUGCAGUGAGCUAUGUUCGCACCACUGCACUCCAGCCUGGGUGACAGAGUGAGACCCUGUCUCAAAAAG